rnacentral:rRNA from 1 species
GCCUUUACUGACGCUAAAGCUCGAAGGUGCGGGUAUCGAACAGGAUUAGAUACCCUGGUAGUCCGCACGGUAAACGAUGGAUGCCCGCUGUUUGCGAUAUACUGUGAGCGGCCAAGAGAAAUCGUUAAGCAUCCCACCUGGGGAGUACGCCGGCAACGGUGAAACUCAAAGGAAUUGACGGGGGCCCGCACAAGCGGAGGAACAUGUGGUUUAAUUCGAUGAUACGCGAGGAACCUUACCCGGGCUUGAACUGCAGGAGAACGAUUCAGAGAUGAUGAGGUCCUUCGGGACUCCUGUGGAGGUGCUGCAUGGUUGUCGUCAGCUCGUGCCGUGAGGUGUCGGCUUAAGUGCCAUAACGAGCGCAACCCCUUUCGUUAGUUGCCAUCAGGUGAUGCUGGGCACUCUGGCGAUACUGCCACCGUAAGGUGUGAGGAAGGUGGGGAUGACGUCAAAUCAGCACGGCCCUUACGUCCGGGGCUACACACGUGUUACAAUGGGUGGUACAGAGAGCCGGUCGUCUGCAAAUGCGAUCAAAUCCUAAAAGCCAUCCUCAGUUCGGAUUGGGGUCUGCAACCCGACCCCAUGAAGCUGGAUUCGCUAG